rnacentral:tRNA from 3 species
GGCUCUAUCGUCUAGUGGUUAGGACGAAAGCUUCUCAAGCUUUAAACCGGAGUUCGAUUCUCCGUAGAGUCA